UACCAGCACCCCGAGUGGUCGGGGCGAUUAUUGGGCCUAAAGCAUCCGUAGCCGGCCUUACAAGUCCCCCGUUAAAUCCAACUGCUUAACAGAUGGGCUGCGGAGGAUACUAUAAGACUAGGAGGCAGGAGAGGCAAGCGGUACUCAGUGGGUAGGGGUAAAAUCCUCUGAUCCAUUGAAGACCACCAGUGGCGAAGGCGGCUUGCCAGAACGCGCUCGACGGUGAGGGAUGAAAGCUGGGGGAGCAAACCGG
rnacentral:rRNA from 1 species